rnacentral:rRNA from 1 species
UUAACGAACGAGACCACAGCCUACUAAAUAGCGUUGUGAAUGGUGACAUUCAUGAUGAGCUUCUUAGAGGGACAUUUCGGGUUUACCGGAAGGAAGUUUGUGGCAAUAACAGGUCUGUGAUGCCCUUAGAUGUUCUGGGCCGCACGCGCGCUACACUGAUCGGUUCAACGAGUUUUUCUUGUUCUUUUAGGAAUGAGAAGUCCUUGGCCGGAAGGUCUGGGUAAUCUUUUGAACGCCGAUCGUGAUGGGGCUAGAUUUUUGCAAUUAUU